AUUAGUUUCUCCUCAUGCCGAAAUCUGUUAGAUGACGGGAACAUAUAUAAACU
rnacentral:sRNA from 1 species